UUGAAAGGGAAGCGCUUGCAGCCAGACGUGCCCGUAGUUGCUCAUCGGGGGUUCUCCCCCGUGUACUCUUCUAUGGGCAGGCCAGCAUCAGUCCGGGCGGUUGGAGAAAGACCUGUGUCAUGUAGCUGUUUUCGGGCAGUGUCAUAGGGCAGGUGGAAUGCAACCAGCCUGGACUGAGGUCCGCGCAUCUGCUAGGAUGCUGGCGUAAUGGCUGUAAGCGGCCCGUCUUGAAACACGGACCAAGGAGUCUAACAUCUAUGCGAGUGUUUGGGUGUCAAGCCCGAGCGCGUAAUGAAAGUGAACGGAGGUGGGAACCUUUUAGGUGCACCAUCGACCGAUCCUGAUGUCUUCGGAUGGAUUUGAGUAAGAGCAUAGCUGUUGGGACCCGAAAGAUGGUGAACUAUGCCUGAAUAGGGUGAAGCCAGAGGAAACUCUGGUGGAGGCUCGCAGCGGUUCUGACGUGCAAAUCGAUCGUCAAAUUUGGGCAUAGGGGCGAAAGACUAAUCGAACUAUCUAGUAGCUGGUUCCUGCCGAAGUUUCCCUCAGGAUAGCAGUAACGUUUUCAGUUUUAUGAGGUAAAGCGAAUGAUUAGAGGCCUGGGGGUUGAAACAACCUUCACCUAUUCUCAAACUUUAAAUAUGUAAGAAGUCCUUGUUUCUUAAUUGAACGUGGACAUUUGAAUGUAUCGUUACUAGUGGGCCAUUUUUGGUAAGCAGAACUGGCGAUGCGGGAUGAACCGAACGCGGGGUUAAGGUGCCAGAAUGCACGCUCAUCAGACACCACAAAAGGUGUUGGUUCAUCUAG
rnacentral:rRNA from 1 species